rnacentral:rRNA from 1 species
AUACGGAGGGUGCGAGCGUUAAUCGGAAUUACUGGGCGUAAAGCGUACGUAGGCGGUUGCUUAAGUCAGAUGUGAAAGCCCCGGGCUCAACCUGGGAACUGCAUUUGAAACUGAGUGACUAGAGUUUAAGAGAGGGGAGUAGAAUUCCGGGUGUAGCGGUGAAAUGCGUAGAGAUCCGGAGGAAUACCAGUGGCGAAGGCGGCUCCCUGGCUUAAAACUGACGCUGAGGUACGAAGGCGUGGGUAGCAAACAGGAUUAGAAACCCGAGUAGUCC